UCGAGGAUCUUUUGCAAUGCCCGAAAGGGUGACAAUGCGACGCCGCGUGUGUGAUGAAGGUCUUCGGAUCGUAAAACACUGUCGGCCGGGAGGAAUCUCUGGAGGCUUAAUAAGCCUGCAGGGUGACAGUACCGGCAAAGGAAGCCACGGCUAACUCCGUGCCAGCAGCCGCGGUAAUACGUAGGGUGCGAGCGUUAAUCGGAAUUACUGGGCGUAAAGCGUGCGCAGGCGGUUAUAUAAGACAGAUGUGAAAUCCCCGGGCUCAACCUGGGACCUGCAUUUGUGACUGUAUAGCUAGAGUACGGUAGAGGGGGAUGGAAUUCCGCGUGUAGCAGUGAAAUGCGUAGAGAUCGGAAGGAACACCAGUGGCGAAGGCGGCUACCUGGCCAAAUACUGACACUGAAGCACGAAAGCGUGGGGAGCAAACAGG
rnacentral:rRNA from 1 species